rnacentral:lncRNA from 12 species
CGCCCACCUCCCCUCCCCCACCCGCCCCUCCAAUCACCCCUCUGCCCCGCCCCCUCCCGCUCGCCCCGCCCACCUCCCCCCCUCCCGCCCCGCCCCGCCCCCUCGCCCCGGCCACGCCCAGGGCUUCCUGUCGUCCCACCUUCUCUCGGGUUCACAGAACCGUUGAGCGAUAAUCCUCUUCUAUUUUCCUGAACUUCUGAACUCCUCCGGAGUCUGACCUCCGGGCUUUGGCCGCCGGCCUUGGAUUCCUUUAUCUGCCCUUGGCCUGGCCGCGACUUCGGCGCGCGGCGCGUGAGAACAGCCAGUUUGCCCGGAUUCUCGCCGCUGACCACAAGGACGCGCCACGCUGCAUUUUUCUUUUUUCCCUCCCCCUUUUGCUCCUUCCUUUCCAGCUGACCAAACUUUUCCUAUUCGUGUGUGUGUGUGUGUGUGUGUGUGUGUGUGUGUGUUAUUCCUGAACCAGUGCUCUUUUUUUUUUUCCUUUCUGCACUGUGUCCUCCGUGGUGUGAGCCACCUCGGGAGGUGGGGAGGCCGGGGAGGUGGGGGAACACGACCCCUACGGGCUGACCCCGGAGCAAACGGGCCCAUCUCCGAGAUGGUCAGAGGUGGUCAGAGGUGGUCAGAGGUGGUCAGAGGUGGCAUCUCAGCAUCUCAGCACCGGGCCGGGGCCGCGGACCUCCCGCAGCCUGCACGGCCGGCCUGGUCAGCUUCAGGCUCUGCAGCGACGGGUAACCUCGCUCUGCUCUGCCCUGGGAAGGAUGGUCCCAGCAUCUCCCUGCUGGCAUCGCAGUGGCUUCGGAGCCACACUAAAAUAGCAACCUUUGCAAAGGAAGGGAAAGGAUAAUGAGAAAUCCUGGCUUCAGGAAGUGCUUACUUGCCAAAAGAAUUAUCGAAAGCAUGUGGUCCCCGCUCAGUUCCCUGGAUCUACGCACAAGUCACAAGACGACAGAGCGAAGCUGUGCGUGUUUACAUGAAACAGGUUCCUCCGAGCCUGGCAGAUGUUUGCUGCCUUCCAAGAGGGGCAAUCGGAGAGCAGGUUUGGUUUCGGGGCGCUGCCCACUCGAGGAAGUAACUCAGCAAGUUACUUAAGGAGCAUCCUGGGGGGGGGGGUCACCUGGGUGGCUGAUCGAGCACCUGCCUUUGGCUCAGGUAGUGACCCCGCAGGGAGCCUGCUUCUCCCUCUGUCUGUGUCUCUGCCUCUCUCUGUGUGUCUCUCAUGGAUAAAUAAGUAAAAUGUAAAAAAUAAUAAUAAUAAAUUAAAUAAAUAAAAAUUCUUUUUUAAAAAA